rnacentral:rRNA from 1 species
UACGUAGGUGGCGAGCGUUGUCCGGAUUUACUGGGCGUAAAGAGCGCGCAGGCGGUCGUGCAAGUCGCGUGUGAAAGCCCCCGGCUCAACUGGGGAGGGUCACGCGAUACUGCUCGACUCGAAGGCAGGAGAGGGAAGUGGAAUUCCCGGUGUAGUGGUGAAAUGCGUAGAUAUCGGGAGGAACACCAGUGGCGAAGGCGGUUGCCUGGAGCUUUGCUGACGCUGAUGCGCGAAAGCGUGGGGAGCAAACAGG